GGAUGUGAGGGCGAUCUGGCUGCGACAUCUGUCACCCCAUUGAUCGCCAGGGUUGAUUCGGCUGAUCUGGCUGGCUAGGCGGGUGUCCCCUUCCUCCCUCACCGCUCCAUGUGCGUCCCUCCCGAAGCUGCACGCUCGGUAGAAGAGGAUGGCCUUCCCCGAAUAGAGACGGACCAAAG
rnacentral:snRNA from 1 species